rnacentral:rRNA from 1 species
UUGGUUAAGUUAGAAAGGGCGCACGGUGGAUGCCUUGGCACUAGGAGCCGAAGAAGGACGGGACUAACACCGAUAUGCUUUGGGGAGCUGUACGUAAGCGUUGAUCCAGAGAUUUCCGAAUGGGGGAACCCACUAUCUUUAGUCGGAUAGUAUCCUUACGUGAAUACAUAGCGUGAGGAAGGCAGACCCAGGGAACUGAAACAUCUAAGUACCUGGAGGAAGAGAAAGAAAAAUCGAUUUCCUGAGUAGCGGCGAGCGAAACGGAAAGAGCCCAAACCAAGAAGCUUGCUUCUUGGGGUUGUAGGACACUCUAUACGGAGUUACAAAAGAAAGUUAUAAAUGAAGCGGUCUGGAAAGGCCCGCCAAAGACGGUAACAGCCCGGUAGUUGAAAUGGCUUUCCCUCCAGAGUGGAUCCUGAGUACGGCGGAACACGUGAAAUUCCGUCGGAAUCCGGGAGGACCAUCUCCCAAGGCUAAAUACUCCCUAGUGACCGAUAGUGAACCAGUACCGUGAGGGAAAGGUGAAAAGCACCCCGGAAGGGGAGUGAAACAGUUCCUGAAACCGUGUGCCUACAAGUAGUUAGAGCCCGUUAAUGGGUGAUAGCGUGCCUUUUGUAGAAUGAACCGGCGAGUUACGAUUUGUUGCAAGGUUAAGCGGAAAAAGCGGAGCCGUAGCGAAAGCGAGUCUGAAUAGGGCGCAUAAGUAACAGGUCGUAGACCCGAAACCAGGUGAUCUACCCAUGUCCAGGAUGAAGGUAAGGUAAUACUUACUGGAGGUCCGAACCCACGCACGUUGAAAAGUGCGGGGAUGAGGUGUGGGUAGCGGAGAAAUUCCAAUCGAACUUGGAGAUAGCUGGUUCUCUCCGAAAUAGCUUUAGGGCUAGCCUCGAGGUAAAGAGUCAUGGAGGUAGAGCACUGUUUGGACUAGGGGCCCUUCUCGGGUUACCGAAUUCAGAUAAACUCCGAAUGCCAUGUACUUAUACUCGGGAGUCAGACUGCGAGUGAUAAGAUCCGUAGUCGAAAGGGAAACAGCCCAGACCACCAGUUAAGGUCCCCAAAUAUAUGUUAAGUGGAAAAGGAUGUGGGGUUGCUUAGACAACCAGGAUGUUGGCUUAGAAGCAGCCACCAUUGAAAGAGUGCGUAAUAGCUCACUGGUCGAGUGACCCCGCGCCGAAAAUGUACCGGGGCUAAACAUAUUACCGAAACUGUGGAUGAACCUCUUNGAGGUUCGUGGUAGGAGAGCGUUCUAAGGGCGGUGAAGUCAGACCGGAAGGACUGGUGGAGCGCUUAGAAGUGAGAAUGCCGGUAUGAGUAGCGAAAGAAGGGUGAGAAUCCCUUCCACCGAAUAUCUAAGGUUUCCUGAGGAAGGCUCGUCCGCUCAGGGUUAGUCGGGACCUAAGCCGAGGCCGAUAGGCGUAGGCGAUGGACAACAGGUAGAGAUUCCUGUACCAGUGCUAAUUGUUUAACCGAUGGGGUGACACAGAAGGAUAGGGAAUCGCACGAAUGGAAAUGUGCGUCCAAGCAGUGAGUGUGAGAAGUAGGCAAAUCCGCUUCUCGCGAAGCAUGAGCUGUGAUGGGGAAGGAAAUUAAGUACGGAAGUUCCUGAUUUCACGCUGUCAAGAAAAGCCUCUAGGAAGAGUAGUACUGCCCGUACCGCAAACCGACACAGGUAGAUGAGGAGAGAAUCCUAAGGUGAGCGAGAGAACUCUCGUUAAGGAACUCGGCAAAAUGACCCCGUAACUUCGGGAGAAGGGGUGCUCUAUUAGGGUGCAAGCCCGAGAGAGCCGCAGUGAAUAGGCCCAGGCGACUGUUUAGCAAAAACACAGGUCUCUGCAAAACCGUAAGGUGACGUAUAGGGGCUGACGCCUGCCCGGUGCUGGAAGGUUAAGAGGAGUGCUUAGCUUCGGCGAAGGUACGAAUUGAAGCCCCAGUAAACGGCGGCCGUAACUAUAACGGUCCUAAGGUAGCGAAAUUCCUUGUCGGGUAAGUUCCGACCCGCACGAAAGGCGCAACGAUCUGGGCACUGUCUCAACGAGAGACUCGGUGAAAUUAUAGUACCUGUGAAGAUGCAGGUUACCCGCGACAGGACGGAAAGACCCCGUGGAGCUUUACUGCAACCUGAUAUGGAAUGUUUGUACCGCUUGUACAGGAUAGGUAGGAGCCGAAGAGACGUGUGCGCUAGCAUACGAGGAGGCAAUGGUGGGAUACUACCCUGGCUGUAUGACCAUUCUAACCCGCCACGCUUAGCGCGUGGGGAGACAGUGUCAGGUGGGCAGUUUGACUGGGGCGGUCGCCUCCUAAAGAGUAACGGAGGCGCCCAAAGGUUCCCUCAGAAUGGAUGGAAAUCAUUCGCAGAGUGUAAAGGCACAAGGGAGCUUGACUGCGAGACUGACAAGUCGAGNGAGGCGCCCAAAGGUUCCCUCAGAAUGGAUGGAAAUCAUUCGCAGAGUGUAAAGGCACAAGGGAGCUUGACUGCGAGACUGACAAGUCGAGCAGGGACGAAAGUCGGGCUUAGUGAUCCGGUGGUUCCGCAUGGAAGGGCCAUCGCUCAACGGAUAAAAGCUACCCCGGGGAUAACAGGCUUAUCUCCCCCAAGAGUCCACAUCGACGGGGAGGUUUGGCACCUCGAUGUCGGCUCGUCGCAUCCUGGGGCUGUAGUCGGUCCCAAGGGUUGGGCUGUUCGCCCAUUAAAGCGGCACGCGAGCUGGGUUCAGAACGUCGUGAGACAGUUCGGUCCCUAUCCGUCGCGGGCGCAGGAAAUUUGAGAGGAGCUGUCCUUAGUACGAGAGGACCGGGAUGGACACACCGCUGGUGUACCAGUUGUUCCGCCAGGAGCAUCGCUGGGUAGCUAUGUGUGGCAGGGAUAAACGCUGAAAG